UCGGUCUUAGCCUCAGAGUCGACGAGCUGGUCUACAACAAACUCCUCCUUCCUCUUAUUCUUCUGCUUCUUCUUCUUCUCACCACUCUUCCCAUUCCUCUGCUUCUCACUGACUCACUGAGACAACUAAAACAAUAACCUCAUCAGGAUGAUGGAUCUGUUAUAUGUAUAUUUUCUCUUUCUAGAAGUAAUGCCCAAGAUGGACAUUUAGCUGCUGGUCGUAAUGGUGUAAAGCGCCUCAGAACUAUAAGUUCUCAUCUGUUUUACUCUUUGAUGUGGUCAAACAACCAAAUAUUUUAUCAUUCCUUUAUAGUAUGGAGACUAAAACUUUUUGUGGUAAUACGACAAAGGUUGCUAUCUAUAUUGUCAUAGAGCCUGUUGUUCCACUAUUAGAAAAGAUCAAGGAACUAAAUUUGGAAGGUACAUAAAGUGGUUUGGCUAGGAAUAUAGAUUGAAGAAAAUGGAGAGGAAAGUGAAG